AGUACUACACGGAAGGUAAGAAUGAUUGAUAAAACAAAUAUAUGCAGUUGUGUGUGUUUAACGGUUGGUUUGGAAGGAGUUAAUAUUGAGUGUGGCUAGUUUAUAUCCAGAUGGUGGACCAGUGGUUAGAUUCACCAGCAGCGUUUCAUAUGUUCGUUUGCCCUCAAAUUGUUUUUCCCUUAUCGGCAGGUUGGGGGAGGGGACGAGAACGAAGCAGGGUCAAUAGCUCAGAAUGACAGCUAUACCAGUUUAACUCCAGACAUCACGCCCGCUACAUCUCACCUCUCCAGUCACCACGCCACUACGCCACCACCGACCCCUCGAGUCUACGCAGCCCGGUGUCCGUCUGUGUCUUGUCGUCGGGCGUGACGUGCAGCAAAGGCGGUAACAGCAACGGGAAGUUUUAUCUACGUGAUGGAGGUUUUUCGUGCGGCGAGGUGACGUGCCGCUGCUGUGAGAUUAGCGGACCACCCCACCCCACUCUACAGCCACAGCACAGCGGAGAGAAUAGGUACCAGAAUCGGCGAAAAGAAUGAGUGGACAGGAUUUCUUCACGUAACGAGGCUGGUGUUUCAAGGUACGUGCAUUAGAGGCACGUGUUAGUAUAACGGUAAGUGGGGAUAUAACCAUAAAAUUAGUUCUUGAAAGUGGUAGGCAGGCCUAAAUCGUUAAGAGGUUCACGAGUGACGGUGGGGGUUUUUGUGUGAGUUUGUGAAGCUGUAUAAAAUCAUCAAAUAGUAACCAGAAUGAGUACGGGAAUGUGUAAUGGUACUGAAAGGGUUAAUCCCCACGUAAGUUUCUGAAUCUGUAUAAAAUUGCCAAGUAGUAAGCAUAUAGCAUGAAUAUCGUAAUGUCACGGUACUGAAAGGGUUAGCUAUCCAUUCACUCGUUUCAGGCAGCACUAGUUAGCCUCCUAAAGAGAGAGAGAGAGAGAGAGAGAGAGAGAGAGAGAGAGAGAGAGAGA